GACAGAGGGUGCAAACGUUGUUCGGAAUUACUGGGCGUAAAGCGAGUGUAGGCGGUUUGGUAAGUCGGAUGUGAAAGCCCCGGGCUCAACCCGGGAAGUGCACUCGAUACUGCCAGGCUAGAGUGUCGGAGAGGUUGGUGGAAUUCUCGGUGUAGAGGUGAAAUUCGUAGAUAUCGAGAGGAACACCGGUGGCGAAGGCGGCCAACUGGACGAACACUGACGCUGAGACUCGAAAGCGUGGGGAGCAAACAGG
rnacentral:rRNA from 1 species